UACGGAGGGUGCAAGCGUUAUCCGGAAUCACUGGGUUUAAAGGGUGCGUAGGCGGCGCAAUAAGUCAGAGGUGAAAGCCUGCAGCUCAACUGUAGAAUUGCCUUUGAUACUGCUGCGCUUGAAUCAGGUUGAGGUUGGCGGAAUGUGGCAUGUAGCGGUGAAAUGCAUAGAUAUGCCAGAGAACACCAAUUGCGAAGGCAGCUGACUGGGCCUGAAUUGACGAUGAGGCACGAAAGAGUGGGGAGCAAACAGG
rnacentral:rRNA from 1 species